UAGCUCAGUUGGUAGAGCCCCGGAUUGUGAUUCCGGUUGUCGUGGGUUCGAGCCCCAU
rnacentral:tRNA from 1 species